rnacentral:rRNA from 1 species
CAGUAGCCACGGGAAAACGUAGGGUGCAAGCGUUAAUCGGAAUUACUGGGCGUAAAGCGUGCGCAGGCGGUCCGUUAAGACAGAUGUGAAAUCCCCGGGCUUAACCUGGGAACUGCAUUUGUGACUGGCGGGCUAGAGUAUGGCAGAGGGGGGUAGAAUUCCACGUGUAGCAGUGAAAUGCGUAGAGAUGUGGAGGAAUACCGGUGGCGAAGGCAGCCCCCUGGGCCAAUACUGACGCUCAUGCACGAAAGCGUGGGGAGCAAACAGGAUUAGAUACCCGCGUAGUCCCUGUCUCUUAUAC